rnacentral:rRNA from 1 species
UACAGAGGGUGCGAGCGUUAAUCGGAAUUACUGGGCGUAAAGCGUGCGUAGACGGUCAAGUAAGUCGGGUGUGAAAGCCCCGGGCUCAACCUGGGAAUUGCAUUCGAGACUGCGUGGCUAGGGUGCGGAAGAGGGAAGCGGAAUUUCCGGUGUAGCGGUGAAAUGCGUAGAUAUCGUAAGGAAGACCAGUGGCGAAGGCGGGUCUCUGGACAGUUCCUGACGCUGAGGCACGAAGGUCAGGGGAGCAAACGGG